rnacentral:lncRNA from 1 species
AAGACUAAAGGGAGUGGAAAGUGUCUCCCCACAGAGAAUCAUGACUGGGACAGGAGCCUGUUGGAGGGAGAGGAUGUCUGGUGCAUUUCUGCUCUCUCAUACCAGACCUUCUGAGCCUCUCUGCUCAGACCUUGAGGGCCACCAAGAUUACCUGUUGGGAUAUGUUUAUGGCUUCACAAAACCACCUUCAGAACCUGGCCUGUGGCUUGCAUACUGGAGUGUGAUCUUUCUGAGUGCAAUCAAGUGUCCACAUGACCUGUCCCUAGGAAUCUACCAACUGUACAUUAUCUCUUCCAGGAUGUCCAAUGAGUGGUGA